UCUUAGCAACCUCCAGUGUUUGGCUGCGACUCUACGUCUGCUACGAUAAGGAGCUUCACAAAUUCUAAAAGCAAUCGCAUUGAAACAGAUAGCAUCACCUUUCUCGAGAAUUUUACGGUAUAUUGGCAAAUUUCUGAUUUGAACAAGCUCUUCACUCCUCUCGACACAGAUUAACUGCAGAACAGCCUCUUCAAGCUCGAAUACUUCAGCAAAUCGCAACGUAGUAUGGUAAAGAGAAUCAAUACGAAAAACGCAAGAAUCCCGAUCUGGACUUCCUUCGAGGUCAGCAAUACAACUCAAAAUAGAGUUGCGAAGGAGACUUACAAUGUAUAACCUGUCUGCCAUGUUUUAGGGUUGUAGACAUGUAGGUAAAACAAUUGGUUUAUUUUGUUUUCAUUAUUACCGCAUCAAGAAAAUAAAUUAUAAA